rnacentral:tRNA from 2 species
AAGCCAAUAGCUCAGUGGUAGAGCGGUCAGCUGUUGUUAACUGACUGGUCGUAGGUUAAAAUCCUACUUGG